GCCCGGUUAGCUCAGCCGGUAGAGCGUUGGACUUUUAAUCCAACGG
rfam:Ciona savignyi cont_34128, whole genome shotgun sequence.